rnacentral:rRNA from 1 species
GAUGAACGCUGGCGGCGUGCCUAAUACAUGCAAGUCGAGCGAACAGACGAGGAGCUUGCUCCUCUGACGUUAGCCGCGGACGGGUGAGUAACACGUGGAUAACCUACCUAUCAGACUGAGAUAACUUCGGGACACCGGAGCUAAUACCGGAUAAUAUAUUGCACCACAUGGUUCAAUGGAAAAAUACGGUUUUGCUGUCAGUUAUCGAUGGAUCCGCGCCGGUUUAGAUAGUUGGUCAGGUAAAGGACUACGAAGGGGACGAUGCCUAGCCGAACUGUGAGGGUGAUCGGCGACCUUGGAACUGGGACAGCGACAAGAGUCCUAAGGUAGGCAGCAGUCGGGAACCGUACGCAGUGGGCGAAAACCUGACAGAACAACGCCGAGUCAGUGAUAAAGAUCUUCGGUGCGUGAAGCCCUGUUAUUAGUGAAAAACAACUGUGUACGGAACUAUGCACGUCUUGACGGUACUUAGUCAGAAAGCAACGGCUAACUACGUG